rnacentral:piRNA from 1 species
AACUGAACUAACAAAACAAGUCAGCGC